rnacentral:rRNA from 1 species
CCAAUAGCGUAUAUUAAAGUUGUUGCAGUUAAAAAGCUCGUAGUUGAAUUUCGGGAUUGGCGCAUCGGUCGUGCCUCACGGGGUAUGAACUGGUGCAGUCAAUUUCUCACCUUCUGGAGAACCGCGAUGUCCUUAAUUGGAUGCCGCGGGGAACCAGGACCUUUACUUUGAAAAAAUUAGAGUGUUUAAAGCAGGCAUUUUUGCUUGAAUACAUUAGCAUGGAAUAAUAAAAUAGGACGGCAUGGUUCUAUUUUGUUGGUUUCUAGGACCACCUUAAUGAUUAAUAGGGAUAGUUGGGGGCAUUAGUAUUCAAUUGUCAGAGGUGAAAUUCUUGGAUUUAUUGAAGACUAACUACUGCGAAAGCAUUUGCCAAGGAUGUUUUCAUUAAUCAAGAACGAAAGUUAGGGGAUCGAAGACGAUCAGAUACCGUCGUAGUCUUAACCAUAAACUAUGCCGACUAGGAAUCAGACGAUGUUAAUUUUUUAAUGACUCGUUUGGCACCUUACG